rnacentral:rRNA from 1 species
GAACUGAAGAGUUUGAUCAUGGCUCAGAUUGAACGCUGGCGGCAGGCCUAACACAUGCAAGUCGAGCGGAUGAAGGGAGCUUGCUCCUGGAUUCAGCGGCGGACGGGUGAGUAAUGCCUAGGAAUCUGCCUGGUAGUGGGGGAUAACGUCCGGAAACGGGCGCUAAUACCGCAUACGUCCUGAGGGAGAAAGUGGGGGAUCUUCGGACCUCACGCUAUCAGAUGAGCCUAGGUCGGAUUAGCUAGUUGGUGGGGUAAAGGCCUACCAAGGCGACGAUCCGUAACUGGUCUGAGAGGAUGAUCAGUCACACUGGAACUGAGACACGGUCCAGACUCCUACGGGAGGCAGCAGUGGGGAAUAUUGGACAAUGGGCGAAAGCCUGAUCCAGCCAUGCCGCGUGUGUGAAGAAGGUCUUCGGAUUGUAAAGCACUUUAAGUUGGGAGGAAGGGCAGUAAGUUAAUACCUUGCUGUUUUGA